GACAGAGGGGGCAAGCGUUGUCCGGACUGACUGGGCGUAAAGGGCGCGCAGGCGGAGCAAGGCGUCGAUGCUGAAAUCGGGCCGCUUAACGGCCCGCGGCGUGUCGAUACGCUUGCUCUGGAGCGCGGGCGAGGGUGGUGGAAUUGCCGGUGUAGUGGUGAAAUGCGUAGAGAUCGGCAGGAACACCCGUGGCGCAAGCGGCCACCUAGCCCGUAGCUGACGCUGAGGCGCGACAGCGUGGGGAGCGAACUGG
rnacentral:rRNA from 1 species